ACUUUAUAUAAUGUACAGCAGUAACACAUAGCAACAUGUUGAAAAUUUCAACAUGUUACUACAUGUUACUGCUGUUUUUUUAUAUAAAGUACAUGCUUCCAUUUUUAUAGGAAACAGCAGUAACAUGUAGUAACUUGUUGAAAUUAUGUAGUAAAAUAUAAUAAAUUGAUUGGAACAUGUGCAGCAGCAUGUACAGUAACACGUGAUACCAUACGAAGAAUUUAUUUAAAGAAUUAUAUGGUAAAAAUGUAGUACACUUAUAGUAACAUGAACAGUAACAUGUAGUAACAUGCAGUAACUUGUCCUAUAUGUAAUAUAUAGAGGUUAGUGAAAUAGUCACUGCAAUCUGUUAGGUCUAUUACCUCCAACAUUUCGGUUGACGGAAAAAAAAUUGAAUCCCCCUCAUAAAAUAUACGACAAUGCGUUAGUUAUUAACUUUUAAUUAUUAACUUUCAAAUAUUAUAUACAUCAGUCAUUACGCAGAAUUACGUUUUGUAAAUACAGGCUAAUUGUAUGGAGCAGUGGAUCAUUUAUUAAAUCUUUCGUUAAAACCUUGGGUGUAUGCUUGAAAGAGUCUUUAUUACCUAACGAGCUAUUAUAUUAUUUGAAGAGAUUUCCCGUUGAAGUAAAAGCAGACUGUGUAUGAUGUAAGUUUCUUGAUUAUCUCUCUGUAAUACCAUGAACUCUUAUCAAGUAAACCAUAAAUAUUCAAUAUAACAUGUAGAAUCUGCCAUGCUUUAGAGCUUCAAUGAGGAUUUAUACACCGCGUCUCUAAGUAUCCCCCCGUAAUUUUUGUCUUUAAAUUUAGACUGUAGUUUGACUUGAGAUAAUGGCAAUAACAAGAAAGUCAGAUAUCUUAGUGAGUAUUUAAUAAAAUUCAAUGAAACUCGGUACACUUAGUGGGUGCACUCAUAUGAAUAUUUUUGGCAGGUCAUGUGGUUGUCAUGGCAACACACUAGUCCCCAGUCUCUUCUCUUCUUUUUCACAAAUUUCCUCAUGUACAGUAGACGUCUUGCAGAUGAUGUUUGCAUGUUAUAACAGUUUAAACUGAUCACAAUACCUAAACGUACAGUAUUAUAGUAAAAGGCGAC